rnacentral:ncRNA from 2 species
CUUAUUUCUCAGGGCAGGGUGCAAUUCCCUACUGGCGGUAAUCUUCUAGGAAGAGAGUCCGCGAGCGCUUUUGUCUUUACAUGUAAAGGUAAAAGGUCAGCAGAUUUGGUGUAACUCCAAAACCAACGGUUAAAGUCCGGAUGAGAGAGAAUGUAG